rnacentral:rRNA from 1 species
GUUACACAAGGGCGAAUGGUGGAUGCCUCGACAUUAAAAGACGAUGAAGGACGUAGCAGCCUGCGAUAAGCCUCGGUUAGUUGGCAAGCAAACUUUGAUCCGGGGAUGUCCGAAUGGGGAAACCCGACAUGUAGAGAAGUACGUGUCAUCUCUAACUGAAUUCAUAGGUUAGUAGAGGAAGACCUGGGGAAUUGAAACAUCUUAGUACCCAGAGGAAAAGAAAGAAACAAUAUUAGUUUUUAGUUACUGGCUACUUAUUUUGGCAGUCAGUGAACUAUAAGCUAAUCUCGAUUCCCUUAGUAGUGGCGAGCGAACAGGGAAAAAGUCUAAACCACAUAAGUGUUACCAUGGAUCUUGAGAAGACUUCGGUUUUCUUAAGUGAAAUGGUUUAAAGGUGUGAGCCGUUGCUUAUGUUGGGGUUGUGAGUGGUUACAUUACAAAGCUUACAAUUUGUAGACAAGCUUGAUUAUUGCUAGUAGAAGCUGCUGGAAAGCGGCACCAAAGAGGGUGAUAGUCCCGUACAUAAAAGUUUUAAUCAGUUUGUGGUAAUUUAUCUCGAGUAGCUCAGGACUCGUGAAAUCCUGGGUGAAGCCAGCGCGACUAUGCGCUAAGACUAAAUACUUUUAAUGAUCGAUAGUGAACAAGUACCGUGAGGGAAAGGUGAAAAGCACCCCGGUGAGGGGAAUGAAAUAGUAUCUGAAACCAUUUGCUUACAAGCAGUCAAAGCCCGACUUUUUAAGCGGGUGAUGGCGUGCCUAUUGAAGAAUGAACCAACGAGUGUGCUGCAUGUUGCUUAACUUAAGUCUUACGAGACGUAGGUGUAGCGAAAGCGAGUCUUAACCGGCAAUCUUAGUUUAUUAGUCAGCCAGGUUUUACCUGAUUGACUAAUUUACUAAACGGCAGCAUGUACACGACCCGAAACCAGGUGAGCUAACCAUGGCCAGGGUGAAGCGACGGUAAAACGUCGUGGAGGCCCGAACCCACUAGCCGUGCAACACUAGGGGAUGAGCUGUGGUUAGAGGAGAAAUUCCAAUCGAACCUGGCAAUAGCUGGUUCUACCCGAAAUAGCUUUAGGGCUAGCGGUGGAUGUUUCCUAUUGGUGGUAGAGCACUGAAUGGGGUAAGGUGGGAAACCUUACUUACCCUAACCAAACUCCGAAUGCUGAUAGGUUAUAAUUCGCCAGUUAGACUAUGGGGGCUAAGCUCCAUUAGUCAAAAGGGAAACAGCCCAGAUCUCAAUCUAAGGUCCCAAAAUCUAAGUUAAGUGUGAAAGGUGGUGUUAGUUCUUGGACAACUAGGAGGUUGGCUUAGAAGCAGCCAUCCUUUAAAGAAAGCGUAAUAGCUCACUAGUCAAGAGCUUCCGCGCCGAAAAUGUAACGGGGCUAAACUUAGUACCGAAGAUGAGGGCUUAUACUUUUAGUAUGAGCGGUAGGGUAGCAUUCUAUAUUUGCUGAAGUUAUAUGCGCGAGCAAUGAUGGAGAAUAUAGAAGAGAAAAUGUUGGUAUGAGUAGCCAGAACAUGGGUGAGAAUCCCAUGCACCGAAAAUCCGAGGUUUCCUGGGCAAUGCGAAUCAACCCAGGGUUAGGCGAUCCUAAGGCGAGGCCGAAAGGCGUAGUCGAUGGAAGAGCAGGUUAAUAUUCCUGCCCUGCCUAUAUUUUCCGAUGGAGUGACGCUAAUUCAAGCUUUAUGCGUACAUAUGGUUAUGACGUCGGUUAACUUUGUAUUCUUUCCAGGUAAAUCCGGAAAGGUUAAAUAUAGGGUUAGCCGGGAGACGGCGAUUCGUCAAAGUCAACAUAAGGGGAGAAAUAGCCAAGAAAAACUUCUAGGGUUAAGAUAUAGGUAACCGUACCGCAAACCGACACAGGUGGAUGAGGCGAGAAGCCUAAGGUGUACGAGAGAACCUUCGUUAAGGAACUCGGCAAAACAGCGGCCGUAAGUUAGCAAUAAGGCCUGCCCAGAGCAAUCUGGGCCGCAGCGAAAGAUCCCAAGCGACUGUUUAACAAAAACACAGGUCCCUGCUAAACCGUAAGGUGAUGUAUAGGGGCUGAUGCCUGGCCAGUGUCAGAACGUUAAGGUGAGGGGUGAAAGCCUUGAUCUGAAGCGCUGAUGAACGCCGGCGAUAACUAUAAUCGUCCUAAGGUUCCAUAGUUUAUUAAUUAGACUAUGGAAGGAUUGGGACGGUUGUAGGAAGUUAAAUAGAAAUUCCUAAAUAAUUAUGGAAUAUAGCUGCCUGGCAAUAUCGUAAGGUAUUGUUAUCCUCAAAAUAAGUUGGCUAUAUGCUGAAAAAUCUGGUGAAUCGAGCGUUACUGUGAUAUAAUAGACAAGUAAUAAUUUAUCCUUGUCUUAAAUGUCUCAUAGUAAAAAUACGACUCGUGCAGACAAUCAGCAGGAAAGACUUAUCAAAAUAGGCUGGAUUACAGGAUUUGUUGACGGAGAAGGAUGUUUUUCAAUCGGUUUUAUUAAACAAAGCGAUAAGAAAGAAAAACAGCGUCUUCGCCGUGGAUACAAAACUGGAUAUCAAGUUACUCAUGAGUUUGUUGUAACUCAGGGAGAAAAAAGCAAAAAGUCAUUAGAAAUCUUAAAAGAAUAUUUUGGUACAGGCAAUAUCUUUGUGAAUAAAAGAUAUGAUAAUCAUAAAGAAAACUUGUAUAGAUAUGCUGUUAGAAAUAGAAAAGAUUUAUUAGAAAUAAUAAUCCCUUUCUUUCAGAAAUAUCAGUUACAGACUGCAAAAAAUGAAGAUUUCAAACUAUUUGCUAAAUGCCUUAAAUUAAUCUCAGAUAAUAAGCAUUUGACUUAUUCGGGCUUAAUAAAAAUUGUAGAAAUUUCUAGUAAGAUGAAUAGACAGACAUCUCGUGAUAAAUUGAUAAGAAUCCUCAGAGACCAAACGCCAACCAACCUUUAAAAAGGUUGAAGAUAUGGUCCGGACUGCAUGGCGACAUGCAGGCUCUAUUAACAAUGCCAAUAGAGCGCCAAUAUUCAUUGGUAACAUUUCGAGCGAAAUUCCUUGUCGGCUAAAUACCGACCUGCACGAAUGGCAUAACGACUUGGGAACUGUCUCGACGAAGGACUCGGUGAAAUUGCAAUAUGAGUAAAGAUGCUCAUUACCCGUGGCUGGACGAAAAGACCCCGUGAAGCUUUACUAUAACUUGGUAUUGGCUUAGGGAUAUUGUUGUUCAGCAUAGGUGGAAGACUUUGAAGCGUCAUCGUCAGAUGGCGUGGAGUCAACAAGUGAGAUACCACCCUUUAAUAUUUUUAAGUCUAACUCUUUUCCUUGAAUCAGGAGAGAGGACAGUAUCUGGUGGGUAGUUUAACUGGGGCGGUUGCCUCCUAAAAUGUAACGGAGGCGUUUACAAAG